rnacentral:rRNA from 1 species
AGUGAACGCUGGCGGUAGGCCUAACACAUGCAAGUCGAACGGCAGCACAGGAGAGCUUGCUCUCUGGGUGGCGAGUGGCGGACGGGUGAGGAAUACAUCGGAAUCUACUCUGUCGUGGGGGAUAACGUAGGGAAACUUACGCUAAUACCGCAUACGACCUACGGGUGAAAGCAGGGGACCUUCGGGCCUUGCGCGAUUGAAUGAGCCGAUGUCGGAUUAGCUAGUUGGCGGGGUAAAGGCCCACCAAGGCGACGAUCCGUAGCUGGUCUGAGAGGAUGAUCAGCCACACUGGAACUGAGACACGGUCCAGACUCCUACGUGUGGCAGCAGUGGGGAAUAUUGGACAAUGGGCGCAAGCCUGAUCCAGCCAUACCGCGUGGGUGAAGAAGGCCUUCGGGUUGUAAAGCCCUUUUGUUGGGAAAGAAAUCCAGCUGGCUAAUACCCGGUUGGGAUGACGGUACCCAAAGAAUAAGCACCGGCUAACUUCGUGCCAGCCGCCGCGGUAA